UGCAGAGGAGAAGCAGAUGUCUAAUCGGUGGGUGAAGAGAUGGCUGGACGACCUCAAAGAUUUGGCUUACCAUGUGGAAGACAUCUUGGACGAUUUUCAAACUUACUCUUUGCAACGCCAAUUGAAGGGAGAAACUGAAGCCGGUUCAAGUAAGUUUCGGAAGCUCUCCCAUUCUGUGACAACGACCAUCAAUCCAGGAGCAAUCAUGUUGAUGAAGUUUAUCACUACCAGAUUUCAGGAGAUUGUAGUCCAGCAAAACGACUUGGAUUUGAUGAAGAAAAGUGUUGGAGGGACAUCCUAUAUUAAGGUAUGUGCGCGACAACCGAGUACAUGUUUGGAACGUGAACCUAGAGUGUAUGGCAGAGAUGAAGAUAA
rnacentral:misc_RNA from 1 species